rnacentral:rRNA from 1 species
AUUGAACGCUGGCGGCAUGCCUUACUCAUGCAAGUCGAACGGUAACGCGGGGCAACCUGGCGACGAGUGGCGAACGGGUGAGUAAUGCAUCGGAACGUGCCCAGUUGUGGGGGAUAACUGCUCGAAAGAGCAGCUAAUACCGCAUACGACCUGAGGGUUAAAGCGGGGGAUCGCAAGACCUCGGGCAAUUGGAGCGGCCGGUGUCGGAUUAGCUAGUUGGUGGGGUAAAGGCCCACCAAGGCGACGAUCCGUAGCUGGUCUGAGAGGACGACCAGCCACACUGGGACUGAGACACGGCCCAGACUCCUACGGGAGGCAGCAGUGGGGAACUUUGGACAAUGGACGCAAGUCUGAUCCAGCCAUGCCGCGUGCGGGAAGAAGGCCUUCGGGUUGUAAACCGCUUUUGUCAGGGAAGAAAUCUUCUGGGUUAAUACCUCGGGAGGAUGACGGUACCUGAAGAAUAAGCACCGGCUAACUACGUGCCAGCCGCCGCCGUAACAC